rnacentral:rRNA from 1 species
UCCUGGCUCAGAACGAACGCUGGCGGCGCGUUUAAGCAUGCAAGUCGAGCGGCAAGGGCCUUCGGGCCCCUAGAGCGGCGGACGGGUGAGUAACACGUGGACAAUCUGCCCCCCGGCCCCGGGAUAGCCCAGGGAAACCUGGAUUAAUACCGGAUGAGACGGGACCCGCGAUGGCGGGAUCCGGGAAAGGCGCUGCGGCGCCGCCGGGGGAUGAGUCUGCGUCCCAUUAGCUGGACGGCGGGGUAACGGCCCACCGUGGCGACGAUGGGUAGCCGGCCUGAGAGGGUGGACGGCCACAUUGGAACUGAGACACGGUCCAGACUCCUACGGGAGGCAGCAGCUAAGAAUCUUCCGCAAUGGGCGAAAGCCUGACGGAGCCGACGCCGCGUGAACGAAGAAGGCCGUGAGGUUGUAAAGUUCUUUUCGGGAGGGGGAACAACCGUGGCAGGGAAUGGCCGCGGGAUGACGUGAAUCCCGGAAUAAGCCCCGGCUAACUACGUGCCAGCCGCCGC